CCAGCCCCAGGCCUGCCCCGGGGGGAACACGUCCCAGCGCCGGGGGAGGGGUUCCCGUAUAACCGGCCCCCGCCCCACCUCACAGGGACCGCGUCUUUGAAAUUCAGCUAUUCCGGGCCGCAGGGUUAGUUCCCUGCGCGGUAAUUUCAGAGGGGGCUGACGCGGAGGCGCAGCACCGGGGGUUCGCCGCCAGAGGGCGCUCACGCAGCAGGUGGGUCCCCACCAGGGGCAGGAUGGAGCCAGACGAGCCGUACAACGGGGGCCCGGCGCCAGGCGCCCCCAGUGCAUCCAGCAUGGCCAUCAUCGGGGCUGAGGAUGAGGAUUUUGAGAACGACAUCGAGCCA